UACGUAGGGUCCAAGCGUUAUCCGGAAUCACUGGGCGUAAAGCGUGCGUAGGUGGCGUGUUAAGUGAGAUGUGAAACCGUGUGGCUCAACCAUACGUUGUGUCUCAUACUGGCAUGCUAGAGGACAGCAGAGGCAAGUGGAAUUACGAGUGUAGCAGCGAAAUGCGUAGAUAUUCGUAGGAACACCAAUGGCGAAGGCAACUUGCUGGGCUACUCCUGACACUGAGGUACGAAAGCGUGGGGAGCGAACAGG
rnacentral:rRNA from 1 species